GCCACGUUCUGCGAGCCCCGCGGCAGCCUUUCUCUUCAGGGCAGUCCCCCUCGCUCGCCUCAUUCGGCGCCUGCCCUGCGGCCUGUCCGCCUCCCGAGACCCCCUACUCGCCCUCCCAGUAAAAGGCUGAGCAAAUCCGGGGCAAUUCCAGCAAAUUCGGGACACUGGCUCCUGACCCACUGGGCUGUCUCCCACUAGUCCGGAGGAAAUAGGACUGCCCUGCCCGGCACCCCAACAAUGACCUGGCGGGAGGGCAGGGGGAUCUGGAUUCCUACUUCCUCUGAUUAGCUGUGGGCUUUGGGAACAUUUUUAAAAUUCUUUGGGCCUAAGCGUUCCCCUGUGUAUAGUGGGAGUUGCUGAGACCUAAGAUGUCCUGCCAAUUCCAUGGAAGAGAAAGCCCCAGGGAGGUCCUCAGAACCUAUUGUUCUGUGAUGUCCAUGUCACUUCUGUUGCUUCUAGGUCCCCUGUCCCUUCUGAGAUCUCGCCUCGAGGGGACACUCCUCUGCUCUGCGGCCUCCUUCCCUUUGCAGUUCACCCCAGCACAAUGUUCUUAUUAGCAGCAAAGAUAACAGCAGCCCUACGAGAGCAGUUGCGAGUAGUGUGGUUCAAAGCAAGGGCUUCGGGAUCUCAAUCCUGGAGCUUGGCCACUCCCGAGCUGUGUGAUUCAGUGAGCCUGUUCCUCCAUCUGUAAAAUGGGCAUAUAGACACUUACCCCACUGGCUUGUUUUGAAAAUUAAACGGAAGAUUGUAUACAAAA